rnacentral:rRNA from 1 species
GAUCAUGGCUCAGGAUGAACGCUAGCUACAGGCUUAACACAUGCAAGUCGAGGGGAAACGACAUCGAAAGCUUGCUUUUGAUGGGCGUCGACCGGCGCACGGGUGAGUAACGCGUAUCCAACCUGCCCAUCACUUGGGAAUAACCUUGCGAAAGUAAGACUAAUGCCCAAUGACAUCCCACGAAGGCAUCCGAAUGGGAUUAAAGAUUUAUCGGUGAUGGAUGGGAGNUG